rnacentral:rRNA from 1 species
GAGUUUGAUCCUGGCUCAGGACGAACGCUGGCGGCGUGCUUAACACAUGCAAGUCGAACGAUGAACCGGUUUCGGCCGGGGAUUAGUGGCGAACGGGUGAGUAACACGUGGGCAAUCUGCCCUGCACUCUGGGACAAGCCCUGGAAACGGGGUCUAAUACCGGAUAUGACACGCUCCCGCAUGGGAUGCGUGUGGAAAGCUCCGGCGGUGCAGGAUGAGCCCGCGGCCUAUCAGCUUGUUGGUGGGGUGAUGGCCUACCAAGGCGACGACGGGUAGCCGGCCUGAGAGGGCGACCGGCCACACUGGGACUGAGACACGGCCCAGACUCCUACGGGAGGCAGCAGUGGGGAAUAUUGCACAAUGGGCGAAAGCCUGAUGCAGCGACGCCGCGUGAGGGAUGACGGCCUUCGGGUUGUAAACCUCUUUCAGCAGGGAAGAAGCGAGAGUGACGGUACCUGCAGAAGAAGCGCCGGCUAACUACGUGCCAGCAGCCGCGGUAAUACGUAGGGCGCAAGCGUUGUCCGGAAUUAUUGGGCGUAAAGAGCUCGUAGGCGGCUUGUCGCGUCGGAUGUGAAAGCCCGGGGCUUAACUCCGGGUCUGCAUUCGAUACGGGCAGGCUAGAGUUCGGUAGGGGCGAUCGGAAUUCCUGGUGUAGCGGUGAAAUGCGCAGAUAUCAGGAGGAACACCGGUGGCGAAGGCGGAUCUCUGGGCCGAUACUGACGCUGAGGAGCGAAAGCGUGGGGAGCGAACAGGAUUAGAUACCCUGGUAGUC